rnacentral:rRNA from 1 species
UACGUAGGGCGCAAGCGUUGUCCGGAAUUAUUGGGCGUAAAGAGCUCGUAGGCGGUCUGUCGCGUCUGCCGUGAAAACCCGAGGCUUAACCUCGUGGCUUGCGGUGGAUACGGGCAGACUAGAGGUAGGUAGGGGAGAAUGGAAUUCCCGGUGUAGCGGUGAAAUGCGCAGAUAUCGGGAGGAACACCGGUGGCGAAGGCGGUUCUCUGGGCCUUACCUGACGCUGAGGAGCGAAAGCGUGGGGAGCGA